CCCGGAAUGACUUAGAUGAAACUGAAUGUAGAGAAGAUGCCCUGCAAAAGACAAAAGAUCAUGUUAAGACAUCCAUUUUUUAAAAGGUACAGAACAAAAUGAAAAUCCUACCUGAAAGAGCCAGCAACCCAACUGGAAGAGCUUGUAGUAUCAAUUUUGUUACUGGGAAUGGUCUGUGGAGCAGAUAUGUUAAGUAUUGGUGAUUUUUCCCAUGGUUUUAAAUCUUCCCUAGAAUAUGCAGGAGGUGUACCAUUAAGAUACGGUUUAAUUUUCCCCUGGAGGUAAAAAAAAAAAAAAAACAUUAAAAAAUAAAUAAUAGUAAA